rnacentral:rRNA from 1 species
CUGCUGCCUCCCGUAGGAGUCUGGGCCGUGUCUCAGUCCCAAUGUGGCCGUCCGCCCUCUCAGGCCGGCUACUGAUCGUUGCCUUGGCAGGCCGUUACCCUCCCAACUAGCUAAUCAGACGCGGGCCCAUCUUAUACCACCUUAGUUUUUCACACUGUGCCAUGCGACACUGUGCGCUUAUGCGGUAUUAGCAGCUGUUUCCAGCUGUUAUCCCCCUGUAUAAGGCAGGUUGCCCACGCGUUA